CCUACGGGAGGCAGCAGUGGGGAAUAUUGCACAAUGGGGGGAACCCUGAUGCAGCGACGCCGCGUGGGUGAUGAAGGCUUUCGGUAUGUAAAGCCCUAUCGGCAGGGAAGAACAAUGAUGGUACCUGACCAAGAUGCACCGGCUAAAUAAGUUCCAGCAGACCCGGUAAGACGUGUGGUGCAAGCGUUACCCGGAUUUACUGGGUGGAAGGGGAGCGCAGGGGGGGGGUUAAGUCUGGUGUGAAAGUCCGUGGCCCAACCGCGGGACUGGAGUGGGAACUGGCCAGCUGGAGUGCGGGAGGGGUAGGCGGAAUUCCUGGUGUAGCGGUGAAAUGCGCAGAUAUCAGGAGGAACACCAGUGGCGAAGGCGGGUUACUGGACAGUGACUGACGCUGAGGCUCGAAAGCGUGGGGAGCGAACAGGAUUAGAUACCCCAGUAGUC
rnacentral:rRNA from 1 species